GAUGAACGUUGGCGGUGUGCCUAAUACAUGCAAGUCGAACGGAGACUGUAGCAAUACUGUCUUAGUGGCGAACGGGUGAGUAACGCGUUGGUGAUCUGCCUCGAAGUGUGGAAUAACCUCCCGAAAGGGAAGCUAAUACCGCAUAGUCUCUCAAGGUUUAGAAAAUUGAGAGUAAAGGAUUUAUUCGCUUCGAGAGGAGCCUGCGUCCCAUCAGCUAGUUGGUAGGGUAACGGCCUACCAAGGCAAUGACGGGUAGGGGACCUGAGAGGGUGGCCCCCCACAAUGGAACUGAAACACGGUCCAUACACCUACGGGUGGCAGCAGUAGGGAAUAUUAGAAAUGGACGAAAGUCUGAUCUAGCAACACCGCGUGUGCGAAGAAGGCCUUCGGGUCGUAAAGCACUUUUUGGAAGGAAUAGGAAGGAAUGUACUUCAGAAUAAGUCUCGGCUAACUACGUGCCAGCAGCCGCGGUAAGCUAGUCUACG
rnacentral:rRNA from 1 species